ensembl:snRNA U6 U6 spliceosomal RNA
GUGCUCGCCUGGGAAGCACAUAUGCUAAAACUGGAACAAUACAGAGCAGGUUAGCAUGGUCCCCAUGCAAGGAUGACAUGCAAAUUUGUGGAGCAGUCCAUAUUUUU